rnacentral:rRNA from 1 species
CCUACGGGUGGCAGCAGUGGGGAAUAUUGGACAAUGGGGGGAACCCUGAUCCAGCCAUGCCGCGUGUGUGAAGAAGGCCCUCGGGUUGUAAAGCACUUUCAGUGAGGAAGAACGCCUGGUGGUUAAUACCCAUCAGGAAAGACAUCACUCACAGAAGAAGCACCGGCUAACCCCGUGCCAGCAGCCGCGGUAAUACGGAGGGUGCGAGCGUUAAUCGGAAUUACUGGGCGUAAAGCGCGCGUAGGUGGCUUGAUAAGCCGGUUGUGAAAGCCCCGGGCUCAACCUGGGAACGGCAUCCGGAACUGUCAAGCUAGAGUGCAGGAGAGGAAGGUAGAAUUCCCGGUGUAGCGGUGAAAUGCGUAGAGAUCGGGAGGAAUACCAGUGGCGAAGGCGGCCUUCUGGACUGACACUGACACUGAGGUGCGAAAGCGUGGGUAGCAAACAGGAUUAGAUACCCCAGUAGUC